rnacentral:rRNA from 1 species
AGAAUAGGUUAAAUAUAAUUUAUUUUGGUUUUACCUUUUGCAUCAUGAUAUAAUGAUUAGUUAUUAAUAUUAAAAUUUACGAAAACAUUAGAUUUAAAUUUUAUAUUAUUGUUGGGUAAACAAUCAAAAAUAAAAUUUGGCAGUGAUAAAUUAGUCGUUAAUGUAGAUAACUUGUAAAUAAGAAGUAAAAUUAUAAAUUAACUGAGUUAAAAGAUUUAGUUAACGUUUAUAAAUUGUGUUUAGUGUAAAGUAUAUGGGUUUAAAAGUAUCUCUUAUUUUUGUGUUUUAUAACUAAAAUAUUAUUUUAUUAAUUUUUUAAAAUUCUUAUUAUAUUAAAUUAAAUGUGAAUUUUAAUGUUAUAAUUAGUAGUUAAAUAGUUAUUAGGUUUCUCGGCAUAAGUCGAAUUGUUUAUUAAAAACAUUGUCACUUAAAUAUAUAAGUGGUAAUACCUGCUCAAUGUAAAUUAAUAGCUGCAGUAUUUUGACUGUACUAAGGUAGCAUAAUUGCUUGUCCCUUAAAUAGGGAAUUGUUUGAAUGGUUUUUUUGAUUUAUAUGCUACUUAAUAAUUUUAAUGAAUUUAGUUUUUAAGUAAAGAACCUUAAAUUUAAAUAAAAGACGGAAAGACCCUAAGAGCUUAAAAUUAAAAUUUAUUUGGGGCAAAGCUUUUAAUUUAGAAAGAUUUUGGACCUGUGUGGUUUAUUGGAUAAGUUACCUUAGGGAUAACAGGGUUAAAAAUAAGGAGAGAUCAUAUCGAUUUAUUUAGUUGCUACCUCGAUGUUGACUUAGAAGAGCUGUAAGACGCAGUAGUUUUAUAAGUAGGCCUGUUCGGCCUUUAAAUUUCUUCAUGAGUUGAGUUAAGACCGGUGUAAGCCAGGUCGGUUCUUAUCUUUAAUUCAUAUAAUUUAGUACGAAAGGAUUAAUUAUGUUUUAAGUU